rnacentral:rRNA from 1 species
AAACUACGAGUUGUAACUUAAAACUUAAAAGACUUGACGGUGCUUCACCACAAUCUAGAGGAGCCUGUCUAUAACCGACAACCCACGAUUAACCCCUCCCCUUCUCGCCAACAGUCUAUAUACCACCGUCGUAAGCUUACCUUGUAAAAGAACCAAAAUGAGCUUAAUAGCAUAACACUAAAACGACAGGUCGAGGUGUAACCCAUGAAGGGGUAAAGAUGGGCUACAUUCUCUUACCAGAGAACACGAAUAACACUAUGAACACAGUGAUUGAAGGUGGAUUUAGCAGUAAGAUAGGAAUAAAAUACCUAACUGAACACACAGCAAUGAAGUGCGUACACACCGCCCGUCAUCCCUGCAACACA